rnacentral:rRNA from 1 species
GCUUUUUCUUUCACCGGAGCUUGCUCCACCGAAAGAAAAAGAGUGGCGAACGGGUGAGUAACACGUGGGUAACCUGCCCAUCAGAAGGGGAUAACACUUGGAAACAGGUGCUAAUACCGUAUAACACUAUUUUCCGCAUGGAAGAAAGUUGAAAGGCGCUUUUGCGUCACUGAUGGAUGGACCCGCGGUGCAUUAGCUAGUUGGUGAGGUAACGGCUCACCAAGGCCACGAUGCAUAGCCGACCUGAGAGGGUGAUCGGCCACACUGGGACUGAGACACGGCCCAGACUCCUACGGGAGGCAGCAGUAGGGAAUCUUCGGCAAUGGACGAAAGUCUGACCGAGCAACGCCGCGUGAGUGAAGAAGGUUUUCGGAUCGUAAAACUCUGUUGUUAGAGAAGAACAAGGAUGAGAGUAGAACGUUCAUCCCUUGACGGUAUCUAACCAGAAAGCCACGGCUAACUACGUGCCAGCAGCCGCGGUAAUACGUAGGUGGCAAGCGUUGUCCGGAUUUAUUGGGCGUAAAGCGAGCGCAGGCGGUUUCUUAAGUCUGAUGUGAAAGCCCCCGGCUCAACCGGGGAGGGUCAUUGGAAACUGGGAGACUUGAGUGCAGAAGAGGAGAGUGGAAUUCCAUGUGUAGCGGUGAAAUGCGUAGAUAUAUGGAGGAACACCAGUGGCGAAGGCGGCUCUCUGGU